AUAUUUUCUCACCUUUUUGACUAAGAUCAAGUGUAGCAUCUAUUCUUGCCAGUUCAGUAUUUGAGGGCAGUAUAUUAAAUGAAUUUUUGAAAUAAGGCGAUAAAAUAGGUGUUUGUUCUGUCUACUCCACCCACCAAGCUGGUAUUGCAGUACUUAAAGGAACGGUACACAGACA
ensembl:snRNA U2 U2 spliceosomal RNA